rnacentral:lncRNA from 1 species
GGUCUUAUCUUGAAAUAUGUGAGGGCAGAGUAGACCUUGGUGGCUAACCAUUUCCCAGAACACAGAAGGGUAAGUGUGUUUUUAAAUUAUCCAACUGUUUCUGAGCCCACAAGGCUCAGGUAAAGUUUCACCUCAUUGCCACUCAAAUUUUUCUCUCUACUCCAAAUUCCAAAGGAAAAUCUUGCAAAACAAGGCAGUUCUUUGGUGUCCUGCUGGAGACACCAUGGUCCUAAUGUUUUCCUCAGCCUCUUCUGGUGGACUCCUCCAUCAUCAGGGAGCCAUCAGAGUGGGAAAAAGCCAGCAAGUUUUACAAACUAAGAGAGAUUUUCUGUCUCAGAUUGGAUCCAUUUCUUUACUGGCCAUACCAGCUCUGCAGGGAGCCACUUCUUGCUAAAAAGCCCCGAACCACCACUUGUUCUUCAUGGCCCAUGACAGAAACUUUCUUCACAAAUGUUGUUCUGGCUGUUGACCAUGCUUAGACAGCUCUUACUGCAGGUGUGAAUCAUUUGGAAGCUUUUUCUCUCAUGUCCUGGGAAGAUUCAAAUAUCUGGAGGCUGCAACAGCUGGGAUACCUAAAGAAUCUCUCCAUGUGGUCUCUCCAGCAUGGUGUCUUCAGGGUAGCUUAUUUUUUUAUAUGGAAGCUCCAAUCUGCCACUGUAUGUGUCCUGAGAAAGAGCCACAAAGAAGCCAUAUAACCUUCUAUGACCCAACACCUUAUAAUUCAGCAGUGCUGCUUCCAUUGCAUCCUAUUAUUCAGAAGAACUGAGUUGUUCAAUGCCAUAUUCAAGAGAGAAAAACUAAACUCUGCUUUCUGAUGGCUAUUGCUCUAGUGUGAAUGUUAUUGCCACUCCAAAAUUGAUGUGUUGGACACCUAAUCCUCAGUGCAACAGUGUUGGCAGGCGGUGCCUGAUGCAAGGUAUUUAGGCAAUGAGGGCUCUGCCCUCAAGGGUUGACUAAUUCCAUUAUGAAAACGGCCUGUGGAGGUGGGUUUCCUCUCUUCUGCUCUUCUGCCAUGUGAGAACGUAGCAUUUCUUUUCUCUGGAGGAUGCAACAAUCAAGGCACCAUCUUGGAAGUAGGAUACAGCCCUCACCAAAUAACUGAACCUGCUGAUGCCUUGAUCUUGGACAUCCCAGCCUCCAGAACUAUGAGACAUAAAUUUCUAUUUUUUAAAAAUAAAUUACCUAGUCUCAGGCAUUCUGUUGUAACAGCACAAAGAGGACUAACACAACUGGAAUGUCAGAGAAUUAUGGACAUAUUUUAAAAUCUCCUCAAAGACUCAUUUCAUCAUGGGAAAUUCAUUUCUUUAAUGAGAUUUUACAGAGUCUUAUAUCCAAAAUAGAAUAAUUGCUGGUAGUAUAAAGAGCUUCAUUCGUGAUCAGUUCCUUAUAUAACUAGAAAUUGGCACACAAAUCCAUAAAAAAUUAAGCACUGGGAACAUUAGGAGUAGAAAAAAAUAAAUAUCUGCAAAGAGGGACAGGAAAGACUUGCCAGAGCAUAACAAAAGAAAUAGGUGUCCGAUGAAGAAAGAGCUGCCAAAAGGCAAAAUAAAUGGCAGGUCAGCGUGGCAUUCCUGAGCUGCAGCUUCUGUUGUGCCACCAGCCUUCAGUGUGACUUUGGUUGACAGGCCACUUCCCCUCUGGGACCUCUGUGUCCUCAUUUGGAAAGUACAAUAUUGAACUAGAUAAUUUCAAAGGCACCUUAUGGCUCUGAUAUUCUGCAAUCCCAUUAUUAUUACUUUAAAUGCUGAAGCAUUUCCUUAAUAGGGAAGAAAUUAAAUGUCUUAACCCUUGGCUAUUAAUAUCAUCUGUUCCUACAUUUAAUGGGUUGAGAUGAGUCACAGAGGAUGAAAGACACUAUAGCUAAGGAUGUCAGCAGAGGUGACAGCCACUUCUACCUCAGGUGACCAUGGGAAGCAACAGCUGGCAUAUUUUAUACAAUUCAGAUGAGACAGGGAAGAACAAAUGACACCUUUGGGCCUUCAUUGGAAAAAAGUAGUCUAAAAGCAUCAACUGCUAUCCUUUGAUGCUCAGAUACUGCCUCCUAGUUAAUGAAGGCAAAAGUAUAAUUUAAGAGCAGUGGUUAAUGCUUUGACAAAGAAAAGGCGGCCCUGAAGACUUGAUAACCUUUCGUUCUUGUCCCUGAAGAAUUUUUGGAUAUGUUAUGUGCAAAAAACAUUUUUGCAUUUGAUUUAAAAACUAUGCAUUGUCUAUCAUACAUGCUUCUGGGCAGUGGGUUCCAGAGCCUGUUCAUUGUCUUUGAGCUAUUUUGCACCUGUUUUUCAAAUGCAGGUAACUGAUGGAUAUGCAAACUGUGUCUUAUCCAGCAGCAUUUCCAUUGGCUUCCCUCCCCACUGUGGAAAAAGUCUUUUUCCCUCCAUUUGUAAUUCGAUUUCUUGACUCUAUAUGUUUGUGCUUUUUGACAUUUACUUUGAACUAGUUCCUUUAUAUGAGUUAAAUAAAAUCUUUAACAUAUGUUUCA